CACACACGCACUUUCUUCUAUACUUAGUGCUUCUAGCUACAUUCAGACACAUUCAUACUGCGAUGGAUGCAUCGGAGAGCAACCUGGGGUUAGUAUCUUGCCCAAAGAUACUUGACAUGCAGACUGGAGGAGCCAGGGAUCGAACCAACUGGUGGCCCCAACUGAGAGCAACUAGUCAGCGGUGCAGUGGGAUAAUAUAAGUAGAGUCCAUAUGUCUGUACAUAUAGAAAGUCAGUGAAGGAGCCCUCCAUGGGAGAGGAUCAAAGGAUCCAUGGCUGUUUUGUGUGGAAAAUGGAUAGUGUGCAACACCACCACUCAGAAGACAGGACCACUUUCUCGAGCAAGCACGUCAGUUACACCAGGAGGGAACCUUUUUAUAAACACUGAAGCUUCACAGGCACUGUCACACACACGCCAUCAUUCUGAAUCAGUUUUAAUAUACAACCUAAAACAAACACUCAUUUGGCCUCUUUCUGCAUUCCACAAGUCACAUGACUUUGUGUCCUGCAGUGACCCCUUCACUUUAAAAUCCAGGACCUUUAAUACACAGCGUGGCAAACAGUUUGUCUGUGCCAUUACUUGUUCUACUUUUCAAGCUCAUGAGGCUUGCAAGCACUAUGACAAUAGUUCACAGAGUGGCAAAUACUGCCUGACUCUGUCAGAUGCCAGCAUGAACAGACCAAUCCACCUCCACACACGCAGAGAGAGAGACAGGUCCCGGAGAGACAAAGAGAAGCCAAUUAGCUGCUGACGAGGGAAAACACAGCCAAGCAGGAGGAGAGCAUGGAGCUCAAAGAGAUAGCGGCAUCACCAAAAGUCUUUCGGAGAUGAGUGAGUUCCUGAGGCAAAAUCCAUUCAACACCAUUCAACAGAAAGCUGCACGGCACUCAAAAGCACAUGCCGACCUCAAGGUGGAAGGUCAUGGCAGAUGGCCGCCUCUCCCUGAGCCUGGUCCUUUUUUCCGGUUAAAAGGGAGUUUUUCCUUCCCACAGUCACCAAGUGCUUGCUCAUAGGGGGCCGUCUGAUUGUUGGGGGUUUUCUCUGCAUUUUUGAAGGAUCAAAACCUUACAAUAUAAGGAACCUUGAGGCAAUUAUUCUUGUGAUUUGGUGCCAUAUAAACAGAAUUGAAUUCAAAUAAACACGUAAAACUAAGACAAGCUGCAAAUGGCGCUGGACUGAGAAACAGUCCAUGACCCUGUAUGACUACAUCCUGUGUACAAACAUGAGAAACAAAGCCAAAAGACGACUACAGCCAUAGCCAAUAAAACUUUAAAGUAACUCCAGCAUGUCACAACUCUAGCACAAGCAGUCAUCUGUGAACAAUAUCUGAAGCUGCAUGACCCUUCUGGCCUGGGUUGACUCCUGAUGGGUGCAAGCAAUUUUUCUUCAAUAGAACAAAUUUACAAUAGCUAAUGGAUCUUAUUAGCCUCCUGGUGCUGUUAGGUAUUUCACACACACACACACACAAAAAAAAAAAUGAAAUGCAAGACUUUUACCUGUUUGCUGGAUGUCUGUCCACUAAUUAAAGAUUGCAUUAAGGAUUAAGGUAGCUCGUUCUUUGCCAUUUCUGAAUGAGUUUCCCUGUUAUCUAGGACAAAAAUACAUUGACUAACAUUAACCACCACCUCCUCCUGCCAGUCGAAGCCACUGAGGUGAAAUCCCGCUGUCAAUUAGCUUCCAACAUGAAAGUAUCUUUUUCCUCAAACUGCACAUCCCAGCAUUUAAAAGAUCUGUGCAAAAGGUGCAACUUCCCUUGGGUGAGAAGUGAAAAACAGCACAAGUUUGGGACAAGUUUGGGUAUAAUCAUAUUCACUGUUCUCAACAUGUAGCUUCAACUUGAAAAGCAGAUCUUCAGACAAAUAUAUCUGGACUUCAAGUACCAGAGAACCACAAGGCCCUGAUGAAUGAAAACUAAAGCAAAACACUUCUCGAAAUCGACUGUGAUGCAGUCGGUGAGAUCAUUUCUCCAGCGAUGACUCUCACUCCUGUUGGUCUUGAACUAAAACAUCCACUUGUAAUUUUAGUUAUGCGUCACAUCCUGUCAGUAUGCACACACAGGCUCUCCCACUAAGAGCACAUAAUGUUUUUUGUAAGUUACUUACAGCAUUUGUGUUUGUUACUUACAGCCGAUUUCACCUUCUGUCAGUUAAAAUGCCAAAAAAAAAACAAAAAAAAAAAAAAAAACAACCAUCUGAAACAGUCACAGUUUUCAUUUUAUUCUGGGAUUAUCCACUUCAAGGGUUAGGAAACAAGAUUAUACAUUUGAAUAGACAUGCUUCAGUGCUUUCAGUACUGAACAAUUUCAGUAUUCAGUUUCACUACGAACUACAGUCAGUCAAAAAUACGAUGAGGUUAAACACUGACCCUCAGUUACCCAAAGAGAGGCAUUGAAAUAGCCAUGACAACGACAACAUUUCAAAAAAUAAAACUGGAUGACUUUGAUAGGACGACCUAUGAAUGGUUUUGAUGCCUGCACCAAUAUCAGAUCGUCGCCACAGGAGAACCGGACACCAAGUGACACUAAUUCCCUUAAAUUGCCCACAAGCUUUAAUACAGAGAGAUGGCGCUUUAGGAAAAAGGAUGACUGGUGGAUCAGACACGCUCUCCUUGCCAGACCUUGCUGCUGUGAGGGAGGUCCAACUCACAAGCAAACAACUUUUAGUGCAUCAGACAAAUACAUAAGUACUAAUGAAGCUGGUUUUUCUUCUUUCUGAUGCUGCACUGUGCAUAAUAACGCAGUCCAAACUCAAAGCAGAACUAACCACAUACGGGCUAGCUACCUAAUGUCAGCCACAACUCCCUUUGCUGUCAAAUCUAAUAGCUCGAUCUAGAACUUCUGAGGGGAACGGACUAUUAGCCAGCCACAUCAAAGGGAUGCAUCAGAGAGAGGGGGCGCGAGGGAGGGAGGUGGAGAACAAACAGGGUCACAGAAGGUUGAUACCCCUCCAUUCUUGUUUCAAAGAUAAGCUCAUGAAUGGCAAACAACCUUGCAGUGAGGUCGCGGGGCUGUACAAGACAGACGUGUCAUCAGACAACAAUCGCACACUGCUGUAAAUCCCAGCAGUGUGCUGGAUUUACACGCUCCUGUUCUCCUGAAUGCUGGGCAACCUCAAGGUUUUUUCUAUCACACAACGUGCACAUACAGAGAGGAUUCAAACUUUCGCUCUGUUACUUCCUUUAUUCAAUCACACACCAGGGAUUCCCCUUCAGUGCAUGAGGUGAGGCAGAUUUUGCCACCUGCCUGUUUUAUUGUAAUCACUAUUCACAAUUUUAAAAAAACUAACAAAAAAACCAAAACACAGGUGCAUGCACACCCCCUCAGCCAUCCAAACAUGUAGUUUACUUAAGGCUGCUGGUCUAAUAGCAAAGGGAGAGUGAUAGAACAAUAAAGCAGUGCAUGAAUAAAUUUCACUCCAUGUCACGCCAUGUUACACUUUCAGACAGUGACACACAAGAAACUGAGGGAUUCUCACCCAGCCAAAGCUUUCAAGCCUCCUCUUUUAUUCAGCAGACAGACAUGGAGCUGGCAGUUUAAUCCACGCUCCUGGUCUCAGAAUAAUCAUUAAAUGCUUUCAGUGAUGCAACGCGGGCUUGGACCAGGCAAUCGUCCCUCAGAGUACAAAUAAAAUACAUUUGACAAAAAAAAAAAAAAGAAGCAUCGUUUUUAUAAAAAAAAAAAAAACUCUCUGGUACAGCAAAGUCUUAACUGUGGACUCGGUAUCCCAGCUGUCAGCUGCACUAAAUGUCUCAGAGUGUAAGGAAGCCCUUUUCGCACCACAGCAGCUUGUACCCCGACCCCACCUGAAAAUGAAACUUUAGAAAAGGUACUGGUAUGGAAAACCAAAGGUGCCCUACAGAGGGAGGGAGUUUCAGAAGGAGAAACAAUGGUUUUCACAGAAAAUCGCAAUAUUUUUUAGAAGAAAGAAAAUUGGGUACACUUUGCUCACUGGAAGCCUUUUACUGUAAUAUGCAUGAGGCACAUUCUUGGCACACCAACUAUAUUAGCCUCCAUAACCUGUGCCGGUGCUUAUCAGCGGGUAAACAGGACAAAUCUGUGUCAGAAGGGCCAGAGCCACUUCGCCCCAUUCAUGGCCGCUUCUUUCCGGGUUCACCCCACGUCAGAUGAAGCUGUCACUAUUGUCCUCGGUCACUCCUCUGACCCCCCCUCUCCCCACAGCCUGCUCUGAUAUUGCACUUUUACUAUGAACUACAAUAUCAAAGCAAACGUCACAUGACACUAAAAGCCUGACCAAAGUCAUUCAGGCUCACCUUAUUCCCCACCCCCCAAAAAGCAGGACAGUGAGGGGGGGGGAAGCCGUAUAAUUUUAAAGCACUGCGUCGGCACAAUGGAGCUCUGUCCAAGAUGACCGUCUAAUAACUACGCACAAUAAGAAGCUGCUUUUUAUAAACUGUGCAGGGCGUCAUUUUAUCAUUUUUAUUUUAUUUUCAUGAAGGAUCGUUACGAAAUCUGUCACAGUUAACCUGCACUGUUCUCACAGAAACUUCUUGACAGAA